AUUCACCAGCAACUCUGACUC
rnacentral:misc_RNA from 1 species